rnacentral:rRNA from 1 species
UUAAAAAGCUCGUAGUUGAACCUUGGGCCUGGCUGGCCGGUCCGCCUCACCGCGUGCACUGGUCCGGCCGGGCCUUUCCCUCUGGGGAGCCCCAUGCCCUUCACUGGGUGUGGUGGGGAACCAGGACUUUUACUGUGAAAAAAUUAGAGUGUUCAAAGCAGGCCUAUGCUCGAAUACAUCAGCAUGGAAUAAUAGAAUAGGACGUGUGGUUCUAUUUUGUUGGUUUCUAGGACCGCCGUAAUGAUUAAUAGGGACAGUCGGGGG